rnacentral:tRNA from 1 species
GGCUAUAUAGCUCAGUGGUGGAGCACAUGCCUAGCAUGCACGAGGUCCUGGGUUCAAUCCCCAGUACCUCCA